UAUAUAUAUAUAGUGACUGUACACCCCGAUAUGGGGCUACAAGAAUCUACAAGUCGAGCAAGUCUCGUAAAUUUCACGAUUGCGAGCCACGCUUCACGCAACCGUGUUUGCGUACUUGUGUUUCGAGUUGCGUGGUCGUGCGGAGUUAUUCCAACAUGCUGUCAAGUCAAAAUUAAAUCAAUAUGGCUACUGGGUGUAAAAGAUAAAUCUUAUUCUAUCUGUUCUUAAUGAAUUUUAGAUAAUUUUAGUUGUAUUUCUUUGUAAUUUUGUGUUGUACAAAGAUUAAUUUAACAUUUUCUCUGGAAGUAUUAAUUUAGGAAGAUAAUAUGCUUCAUUGGUGUUGUGUUUUGAAGUGUGAAAUGCAAAGUAAUUGUGAUAAAGUCAAGAUAAAGUUCACUUUUAAACUGAACUAAAUAAGGUAUCUGAGAGACAACAAUGGUUAAAUGCAAUACAAUGUACAGGUUUUACUAGCGAAAUGAAAAUUUUCCUGUCCUGUCUGCUGUAAUCAUUUUAUAUCUGGUAAGUUACAAUUACAACAGUAAUGAUUUUUGAAGAUGUUAACAUUUUAAUCUUAUAGGAAAACCAGCCGACUUAAUCGAUAAUAACAAUCUCCAGAUUGGGUUCCUUCAAUAAAUAUGGGCUAUAAACACAAUGAAAUAAGUUCCCCAAAAUCUAAAAUGGAGUGGUAUCAAAGGAGAAUUAAAGGAAAAAAUAUUCAUAUUGAAAUUAUUUACAAGGCACUGGACUGUCUUAAAUUCUACAAUAAUACUAGAAUCAGCUGAGAGAAGUGGUCUACAAAAAACCAGGAAGGAAACGGAAUAUGUGGCUACGAAAGGCAAAAGAAAGGUUUACAAAGCAAAUGUGACACAUUUUUUUGAAAUAUUUAGGAAUAUCAGUAAAUUGCAUUAAAAGAAUGUAUGAAAAGAUUUUGUUCAAUAAAAAUGUUUAUAUUUA